rnacentral:rRNA from 1 species
UACGUAGGUGGCAAGCGUUGUCCGGAUUUACUGGGUGUAAAGGGCGUGUAGGCGGGGAAGCAAGUCAGAUGUGAAAUCCCAGGGCUUAACUCUGGAGCUGCAUCUGAAACUGUUUUUCUUGAGUGCUGGAGAGGAAAGUGGAAUUCCCAGUGUAGCGGUGAAAUGCGUAGAGAUUGGGAGGAACACCAGUGGCGAAGGCGGCUUUCUGGACAGUAACUGACGCUGAGGCGCGAAAGCGUGGGGAGCAAACAGG